AACGAACGCUGGCGGCAUGCCUAACACAUGCAAGUCGAACGAGACCUUCGGGUCUAGUGGCGCACGGGUGCGUAACGCGUGGGAACCUGCCCUUAGGUUCGGAAUAACUCCCCGAAAGGGGUGCUAAUACCGGAUAAUGUCUUCGGACCAAAGAUUUAUCGCCUUUGGAUGGGCCCGCGUUGGAUUAGCUAGUUGGUUGGGUAAAAGCCUACCAAGGCGACGAUCCAUAGCUGGUCUGAGAGGAUGAUCAGCCACACUGGGACUGCGACACGGCCCAGACUCCUACAGGAGGCAGCAGUGGGGAAUAUUGGACAGUGGGGGAAAGUGUGAUACAGCAAUGCCGCGUGAGUGAUGAAGGCCUUAGGGUUGUAAAGCUCUUUUACCCGGGAUGAUAAUGACAGUACCGGGAGAAUAAGCACCGGCUAACUCCGUG
rnacentral:rRNA from 1 species